rnacentral:rRNA from 1 species
CUCUGUUGUUAGGGAAGAACAAGUGCAAGAGUAACUGCUUGCACCUUGACGGUACCUAACCAGAAAGCCACGGCUAACUACGUGCCAGCAGCCGCGGUAAUACGUAGGUGGCAAGCGUUGUCCGGAAUUAUUGGGCGUAAAGGGCUCGCAGGCGGUUUCUUAAGUCUGAUGUGAAAGCCCCCGGCUCAACCGGGGAGGGUCAUUGGAAACUGGGAAACUUGAGUGCAGAAGAGGAGAGUGGAAUUCCACGUGUAGCGGUGAAAUGCGUAGAGAUGUGGAGGAACACCAGUGGCGAAGGCGACUCUCUGGUCUGUAACUGACGCUGAGGAGCGAAAGCGUGGGGAGCGAACAGGAUUAGAUACCCUGGUAGUCCACGCCGUAAACGAUGAGUGCUAAGUGUUAGGGGGUUUCCGCCCCUUAGUGCUGCAGCUAACGCAUUAAGCACUCCGCCUGGGGAGUACGGUCGCAAGACUGAAACUCAAAGGAAUUGACGGGGGCCCGCACAAGCGGUGGAGCAUGUGGUUUAAUUCGAAGCAACGCGAAGAACCUUACCAGGUCUUGACAUCCUCUGACAACCCUAGAGAUAGGGCUUUCCCUUCGGGGACAGAGUGACAGGUGGUGCAUGGUUGUCGUCAGCUCGUGUCGUGAGAUGUUGGGUUAAGUCCCGCAACGAGCGCAA